UACGUAGGGGGCGAGCGUUGUCCGGAAUCAUUGGGCGUAAAGCGUGCGUAGGCGGUUGAUUAAGUCUGCUGUGAAAGCCCUGGGCUCAACCUGGGAACUGCAGUGGAUACUGGUCAGCUAGAGUGUGAUAGAGGAUGGUGGAAUUCCCGGUGUAGCGGUGAAAUGCGUAGAGAUCGGGAGGAACAUCAGUGGCGAAGGCGGCCAUCUGGGACAACACUGACGCUGAAGCACGAAAGCGUGGGGAGCGAACAGG
rnacentral:rRNA from 1 species